AGAAGGGAUGAAGAUGCGGGGAGGAAAACCCGAAGCCAACGGGAUCCUCAAGGGCAGCAGAGUGGAUGAAGACUUGAAAUGGGUGGAAGAAAACAUUCCCUCUUCUAUGGCCGACGUAGUGUUGCCGCCUUUGCUAGACUCUGAUGAGGAAAUCGUGACCACCAAAUUCGAAAUGUCCAAGAUGGAAUGAAAAAUCCCAGCCCCAGUCGCUCCGCCGCCGGCUCUUCCUGAUGGGUUUUGUUUUUGUUUUGGUACAGAUGAAGAUGGCCGCCUCCUUUUUUUCCUUCUUCUUCUUCACACGCAUAUAUAUAUGUAUACAUAUAUAUAUAUUUGUAUAUGGUUAAAGGAUUAUUUUACUACCUUUUUUGCCUUUCUAACUCUGUAGCGUUUCCCCCCGGCCGGGCC